UCUCCGUAGGUGAACCUGCGGAGGGAUCAUUACUGAGUGAGGGCCCCCGGCCCGACCUCCAACCCUUUGUGAAUUCGACCCAGUUGCCUCGGGGGCGACCCGGCCUUCUGGCGUCUUGGGGCCCCGGUGGACCACUCAACACUGCAUCUUUGCGUCUGAGUAAAUAUUUGAAUCAAUCAAAACUUUCAACAACGGAUCUCUUGGUUCUGGCAUCGAUGAAGAACGCAGC
rnacentral:misc_RNA from 1 species